CUAGCCUGGUGCUUUAACCACUAAACCAAAUUAGCUCACCAAUAGGAUCACCAAUAAAAAUAGGAAAACUUUGACGAUCAAACUCAGGAUGCAAGUUCUUUUGUCUUUACAGUUAAACUUCAUUUUUGUCUUAUGAGUCCUGACACCAUACAACAAAAUUAUUAUGCAUUUGGAGUUAUGUCCAGCUCACAUUUUGGCUUUGCCUGUUGCCUGAGAGGCACUGCUAGACUAAGAAUGACGGAUGUCGCUAUUUCCACAUCUAAGGAAAAAAAAACUCCUCCAAGAUUCAAUCUCAAGAUUGUCAUGAUGAGAGAAGAUGAAUUUCCUGCCUCCACCUCAUCACAAUUUGCAGUACCAAAAUGAAUCAAUUUCGUACCAUGUGGUAUUUUUGUUGCAGACCUUUGACACAGAUCACAUCUCAAGUAAAAUAAUAAUAUAUUGUAUCAGAUGUCUUGCUCAGGCUACAAAGAAAAAACAUUGUACAGUACAGCAUAUUUACAUUAAUAUGACAAAAGUUAUCUCUCUCUCUCUCUCUCUCUCUGUGUCUGAGAGAGAGAGACAGAGAGACAGGAGACAGAAAAAACAGCUCCAAUCAUUUUACUUUUUUUGCAAAAUAAAAUUUCCGUUUUUACAUAUAUUGGAUCAAAAUAUCUUUGUUUAAUCAAUACAAAUCAAAACGGCUACAAAUGAAAAUGUUUAUUUUUUUCUAGUCUUAUUCUAGAAUUGACUGCAUGACUUUUUAAGUCCAGUGGUCCUCAAUUUGCUCUAUUGCCUGAUCUUGAAAAAAUCUAACUGUUCUAGUCUCAAGUUUCUAUUCCUAUAUUGCUGCUGGGGUGUGAAAAAUGCAACAGACUACAAAGAGAUUCAAAUUACAGAUAUAUAACCAGGCAUCUCCUCCAGCAAGCCCUGAAAAUUCUGCAGAUCUGGAUGACGGCUAGCAGGCUUAAUCCUUUCUCUGCACUUUUUGAGUAAUGGAUAGGAAUGUCGUCAGCUGCCUGCCUUGUGUUCAUCAUUGUUGCAGUUGGCAGUGUAACAGAUAAUGGGAUGGAUUCAAGGCCACUGAGAGACAGAAGCCUGACAAGAACUCAUCCAUCACUUCCCUUUUAAAGGGUCUCUGUGGAAGAACCAAAAUCAAAGAAGUAAUUGAGGUUCAAGGGACACAUGGGAUUUGGGAGGAUAGUUCUGCAUUGCAAACAAAUUUGAGCUGUCAAGUAUGUUGUGUAAAUGAAAUAUUUUUGUCAAAGCAGGGUGUUAAUAACUGUCAUUUAUUUUUCCAUAACAUUAACCAUAACAUAAUCAUAGGGUUAUUUUUCUUUUAUGUUGUAUGUAAAUUAAAACUAAACAUUGAAAGUA